CAGCUCCCAUCCCCUCCUUCUUCCCUGCCCUGAGAGCCAUCCGGGUUUCCUUUCCAGUCUCCCUCUGCUCCUGUGCUUUCUUCCCCUUCCCUCACUUCCCCUGCUCUGUCUUCUCCUCAGUUCCCCGCCCUCCCUCUCUGCACCUGCCCAGUUUCCCCCAUCUCCCCUCCAUGCUCCCUUCCUCCCCAGCUCCUGAGUUGGACCACCUCAGCUCAGCGCCCUACUUCCUGUGCCUGCCCCUGCCUGCUGCCCACCAUCCCUGCACACAGCUCACUCCUCCCUCUGGCCCUCCUGCUGAGCAGGCGGCUCCCCCACUGCCCUGGGCCUGCCCACCUUCCCCAGCCCCCGCAGUCAAGGCUCUCCAACUCCACACCACCGGGGUGAGGGCAGAGAGGCACCCUCUCCAGGGCUGCGCUUCCUCCAGCAGGAGCCAGCUGAGGAGGUGUGUCAUGCAACUUGCCCCCCCAGCCCUCCCCUUCUAAGGAACCCCCACACCUGCUCUGUCUUCCUGCUACAGUCUCUGAGAAAAGCCCUUUCAUCUGUCAAGAACUACAAAAGUCAUUCUUUAAGUGCUAAAUAAACAAUGAAACAGACACAAAGUUAAAGUUACCUGAUCCAAAAAGGAGUGAAGCCUAGACCCCAGCCCACUGACUCAGUCUCUAAGACCCCUCACUCAAAUCUUCAAUCAACAGUGGAGAUGGCUGUGAGCUCUUCUGAUUCCAGAUGACAAUACUCCUCCCUUUAAUUCCUUGAUAUGUUUAAUUAUGUAAGUAAAUUUAAUAUAAAAAUCAUUGCAUUAGAGUUCAUUGUUUUUAUACAAGAUUCAGUGUGAGAUCAAUGUUAUACUUCCAAUUUGUCACACUUACAGAGAACUGAGAAGAAUCACAUUAUUUAAAAUCUUAGCAAAUGUGCAUAAUUCCUUUGGAUAAUUUUAAAGUGAUAGGAUUGGAUCACAUAUGAUGCAAUUGCCUGGGUCUGUUUUGUUUUUAGUUGUAUUUGUCUCUCAUAUUGUGAAUCUCAUAUUUAUGUGACUAAUUAUCAGAAGAUUUUAUCUUUAUUAUGCAUAUUUAGUAUAAAAUGAUCAUACAGUGAAGAGUGUGUAAAAUCAAAAUAAAAUGCCAUUCAUCACCUCUGGCUCUCAUUCCAAGA
rnacentral:lncRNA from 1 species